ACACUAAAGCGUUAGAGAAAAGCACAAGAAAGUUGAUACAGAAGUGCAAAUUAGUAGUUAACUACAAUAAAUCAAAUAUUAAAUACAGUACAAACACAUAAUAUACGCCACUGCGCUCGAGUGCUUUUGCUUGUCGAUUAAGUAGAUUGACAAAGUAAUAAAAUUGCUUUAUUAAAUCUUGAGAAAAGUUUAAAGUCUCUGCGCACUUUGCUUUAUUUAAUUCUGUAAAUAUUUUCAUUGGGUACGUUACGGUUCUUUGACUCCUGACUCAGUAUUUUGCAUUUUUCUAUUGCAGGGUGACGGGUGUUUGUUACGAAACUUGGAGAACCAUACCCUAAAGCCAUCUAUAUUAUAUAAACCCCACCAGAAUCCAUGCCUCUUAUUAGUUUUGACGAUGCUCAA
rnacentral:misc_RNA from 1 species